rnacentral:rRNA from 1 species
UACGUAGGGGGCUAGCGUUACUCGGAUUGACUGGGCGUAAAGGGCGCGUAGGCGGUUUGUACAGUCAGACGUGAAAUUCCUGGGCUCAACCUGGGGGCUGCGUUUGAUACGUGCAGACUUGAGUUCGGAAGAGGGUCGUGGAAUUCCCAGUGUAGAGGUGAAAUUCGUAGAUAUUGGGAAGAACACCGGUGGCGAAGGCGGCGACCUGGUCCGAUACUGACGCUGAGGCGCGAAAGCGUGGGGAGCAAACAGG